GACAGAGGGUGCGAACGUUGCUCGGAAUUACUGGGCGUAAAGCGCGUGUAGGCGGGUGAUCAAGUCAGGUGUGAAAUCCCCAGGCUCAACCUGGGAACUGCACUUGAAACUGGUCGCCUUGAGUGUUGGAGAGGGAAGCGGAAUUCCUGGUGUAGAGGUGAAAUUCGUAGAUAUCGAGGAGGAACACCGGUGGCGAAGGCGG
rnacentral:rRNA from 1 species